rnacentral:misc_RNA from 1 species
GAAAUGCGAUAAGUAAUGUGAAUUGCAGAAUUCAGUGAAUCAUCGAAUCUUUGAACGCACAUUGCGCCUAUUAGUAUUCUAGUAGGCAUGCCUGUUCGAGCGUCAUUUCAACCCUCAAGCCCUGCUUGGUGUUGGGGCGUCUGCAGCUCCGGCUGCAGGCCCUGAAAUCUAGUGGCGGGCUCGCUAUAACUCCGAGCGUAGUAAUAUCUCUCGCUCUGGAAGAGUGGCGGGUUCCCGGCCGUUAAACCCCUAAUUUCUGAAAUGUUGACCUCGGAUCAGGUAGGAAUACCCGCUGAACUUAA